rnacentral:rRNA from 1 species
UAGGGAAUCUUCGGCAAUGGACGAAAGUCUGACCGAGCAACGCCGCGUGAGUGAAGAAGGUUUUCGGAUCGUAAAACUCUGUUGUUAGAGAAGAACAAGGACGUUAGUAACUGAACGUCCCCUGACGGUAUCUAACCAGAAAGCCACGGCUAACUACGUGCCAGCAGCCGCGGUAAUACGUAGGUGGCAAGCGUCGUCCGGAUUUAUUGGGCGUAAAGCGAGCGCAGGCGGUUUCUUAAUGCUGAUGUGAAAGCCCCCGGCUCAACCGGGGAGGGUCAUUGGAAACUGGGAGACUUGAGUGCAGAAGAGGAGAGUGGAAUUCCAUGUGUGGCGGUGAAAUGCGUAGAUAUAUGGAGGAACACCAGUGGCUAAGGCGGCUCUCUGGUCUGUUACUGACGCUGAGGCUCGAAAGCGUGGGGAGCAAACAGG